GCACUGGCUUAGUGUUUGAACAUCUGCCUUGCAAGCAGAAUGCUCCAGGUUCAAUCUCCGGCAUCUGCA